GCUUGGAGGUUGUGCCCUUGAGGCGUGGCUUCCGGAGCUAACGCGUUAAGUCGACCGCCUGGGGAGUACGGCCGCAAGGUUAAAACUCAAAUGAAUUGACGGGGGCCCGCACAAGCGGUGGAGCAUGUGGUUUAAUUCGAUGCAACGCGAAGAACCUUACCUACUCUUGACAUCCAGAGAACUUUCCAGAGAUGGUUUGGUGCCUUCGGGAACUCUGAGACAGGUGCUGCAUGGCUGUCGUCAGCUCGUGUUGUGAAAUGUUGGGUUAAGUCCCGCAACGAGCGCAACCCUUAUCCUUUGUUGCCAGCGGUUCGGCCGGGAACUCAAAGGAGACUGCCAGUGAUAAACUGGAGGAAGGUGGGGAUGACGUCAAGUCAUCAUGGCCCUUACGAGUAGGGCUACACACGUGCUACAAUGGCGCAUACAAAGAGAAGCGACCUCGCGAGAGCAAGCGGACCUCAUAAAGUGCGUCGUAGUCCGGAUUGGAGUCUGCAACUCGACUCCAUGAAGUCGGAAUCGCUAGUAAUCGUAGAUCAGAAUGCUACGGUGAAUACGUUCCCGGGCCUUGUACACACCGCCCGUCACACCAUGGGAGUGGGUUGCAAAAGAAGUAGGUAGCUUAACCUUCGGGAGGGCGCUUACCACUUUGUGAUUCAUGACUGGGGUGAAGUCGUACG
rnacentral:rRNA from 1 species